rnacentral:rRNA from 1 species
UACGGGGGGGGCAAGCGUUGUUCGGAAUUACUGGGCGUAAAGGGCUCGUAGGUGGCCAACUAAGUCAGACGUGAAAUCCCUCGGCUUAACCGGGGAACUGCGUCUGAUACUGGAUGGCUUGAGUUCGGGAGAGGGAUGCGGAAUUCCAGGUGUAGCGGUGAAAUGCGUAGAGAUCAGGAAGAACACCGGUGGCGAAAGCGCUCUGCUGGACCUUAACUGACACUGAGGGACGAAAGCUAGGGGAGCGAAUGGG